UACGUAGGGUCCGAGCGUUGUCCGGAAUUAUUGGGCGUAAAGGGUUCGUAGGCGGUUCGUCACGUCGGGAGUGAAAACUCGGAGCUUAACUCCGAGCCUGCUUCCGAUACGGGCAGACUAGAGGUAGGCAGGGGAGAGCGGAACUCCUGGUGUAGCGGUGGAAUGCGCAGAUAUCAGGAAGAACACCGGUGGCGAAGGCGGCUCUCUGGGCCUUACCUGACGCUGAGGAGCGAAAGCGUGGGUAGCGAACAGG
rnacentral:rRNA from 1 species